AUAGAGGUCACCACAAGCCCCAGGCCAGCUCAAGCUCUGUGUUGUCCACCCAGGACUGCUACAGAGGGAGCCUUGGUGCCUAAGGAGUGGCUGACGGUAGGGAACAACAGCCAAGGAGGUAUAUCAGACAGGUUGCUCAUCAACUCCCAGCUUGAUUCUAGAAAGAACUCCACUCUCCAACCAGUCCAGACACAGAGGAGUCCCUUAGUGGACCAACGACAGACCUUUCUCCCACAGAUGGCCCAGGCACAUGAAAAGCUAAGAAAAUAAAUGGCGGGUUCACCACCUGGUUGUUUCAGUAUUGAAAAUAUUGAUGGUUCUCUUAGAAAAGUUAUACAAAUGGAUAUGGUCUUGUUUGAGAUGAACCAGUCGAAUUCAAAAGUAAAGAGUUCAGAAUCUGAGGAUGAAGAUGACAGCAUCCCUUGUGAAGUCACCAUUGAUAACAUUAAGCUUUCUAAUUCUGAAGGUGGAAAAGGCAAGACUGAAGUUUUGGAUAGUCUGGCAAGUGAAAACAAAAACAAAAACAACCUCA
rnacentral:lncRNA from 1 species